ACCCAGCCGACGAGUCCCAAAUAGGACGAAACGCGCAUUGUGGAU
rnacentral:hammerhead_ribozyme from 1 species